rnacentral:lncRNA from 1 species
GUUUAUUUCAAGUAAAGCUUGAACUUCUAUACAUAAAAGUGAAAUGAUGAUCUACAAUAUCCAAACAGCAAGAGCUAAAGAUACAAAGUUCUCACAAGAUAAGACACCUGGGGAGCAUAGCUUGAGGGUACAAGGUUCUCACUAGAUAAGACACACCAGAGGAGCAUCACUUCAGGGUGAAGGUUAAUUGUCUAUUCUAAGACUUCUCUAUUUACUUAUGACUAUGCACUUUCCCACGGGACUCAGCAAAUGUUUACUCAGCAGCAAAGCAAGUCCAGGGUACAGUCAAGGACAGAUGAUCCAGAGAAGCCUUUGCCUUUACCCAUAUUGACCCCCAAUAGCUAGAGAUUUUCCAGGUAGAUUCCAUCCCCAACACUCUCUUGCUGUGUGGCUCUCUUGCUGCCACUGUGUGCUCAGGGGGCUGCACAGGAGCCAGUGUACCCCGGCGAUGGUGCCACCCUAGAGCAGAUGGCUCUGUAUGCUGCGGAGCUCCAAAGAUAUAUCAGUAGGCUGACCCGGCCCAGGUAUGGGAAGGGAGCAGUGGGCCAGAGAAUCUUCCAGGAUGGAGUGGAUAUCUUGGAGUAGGUGGUUCUGCUGCAGCAUUCCCAGGACACCCAGUCAUCUGAAACAUCAGAGCUCCUGCCUCAUUCCCCUUUCCUCAUUUCCAGAGCCCUGUAGGAAGUCUUGGUCCUAGCUCCUAUGGCCCUGGCAGAAGCUGAGCCAUAGAGUUCUAUCCUCAUCCCUAAACCAGGCUUAAUAAAGCUGAAUCAAAAU